AACUCUUGCUCGUGUACGUCUACUUCAGGUACUUUCUUCCCAGAAGCACUGGUGGAGUACGCGGCUACGGGGUUGGAUCCCGAGCCUAAAGGUCCUGGGUUCUACCGCCCAAAGGUCCCGGGUUCUACCGCCCAAAGGUCCCGGGUUCUACCGCCCAAAGGCCCCGGGUUCUAUCGCCCAAAGGCCCCGGGUUCUAUCGCCCAAAGGCCCCGGGUUCUACCGCCCAAAGGUCCCGGGUUCUACCGCCCAAAGGCCCCGGGUUCUAUCGCCCAAAGGCCCCGGGUUCUACCGCCCAAAGGUCCCGGGUUCUACCGCCCAAAGGCCCCGGGUUCUACCGCCCAAAGGUCCCGGGUUCUACCGCCCAAAGGUCCCGGGUUUUACCGCCCAAAGGUCCCGGGUUCCAUCGGCCAAAGGUCCCGGGUUCUAUCGCCCAAAGGGGCUAGGUUCUACUGCCCAAUGUCUGCAGCCCACCCAGUCGGCCCCCUAACCCCACAUCCUGCUUCUACAUGACGUGGAUCUGAAUCGACAUCCACUGUCCUUUGGAUGAAGUUAUCUGCCAUUAGACAAAAGGUAAAUGACCCACAUGGUGUCUUGACAACCUGUUCCCUGUCUCCCCCUCCC